rnacentral:rRNA from 1 species
UACGUAGGGGGCUAGCGUUGUCCGGAUUUAUUGGGCGUAAAGAGCGUGUAGGCGGCCAAGUAGGUCCGGUGUGAAAACUCGAGGCUUAACCUCGAGAUGUCAUCGGAAACCAUUUGGCUAGAGUCCGGAAGAGGAAAGUGGAAUUCCUGGUGUAGCGGUGAAAUGCGCAGAUAUCAGGAGGAACACCGGUGGUGUAGACGGCUUUCUGGACCGUAACUGACGCUGAGACACGAAAGCGUGGGUAGCAAACAGG